AGAGUUUGAUUCUGGCUCAGAACGAACGCUGGCGGCGUGGAUAAGACAUGCAAGUUGAGCGAUGAACUGACGAUAGCAAUAUUUGACGGGAUUAGCAGCGAACGGGUGAGUAACACGUAGGAAUCUGCCCCAAAGUUCGGAAUAGCCUGGCGAAAGUCAGGGUAAUACCGGAUGUGAUCUUCGGAUUAAAGGCUUCGGUCGCUUUGGGAUGAGCCUGCGUUCCAUCAGCUUGUUGGUAGGGUAAAAGCCUACCAAGGCGAAGACGGAUAGCUGGUCUGAGAGGACGGUCAGCCACAAUGGAACUGAGACACGGUCCAUACACCUACGGGUGGCAGCAGUCGAGAAUCAUUCGCAAUGGACGAAAGUCUGACGGUGCGACGCCGCGUGGGGGAUGAAGGCCUUAGGGUCGUAAACCCCUGUCGGGUGCGAGUAAGGUCCUACUUACGUAGGAAUUGAUAUUAGCAUCAAAGGAAGGGACGGCUAACUCCGUGCCAGCAGCCGCGGUAAUACGGAGGUCCCAAGCGUUGUUCGGAUUCACUGGGCGUAAAGCGUGCGUAGGCGGAGAAAUAAGUUUGGCGUGAAAGCCCCGGGCCCAACCCGGAAAUUGCGCUGAAAACUAUUUCCCUAGAGGAUUGGAGGGGAGACUGGAAUUCCUGGUGUAGCAGUGAAAUGCGUAGAUAUCAGGAGGAACACCGGUGGCGAAGGCGAGUCUCUGGACAAUUCCUGACGCUGAGGUACGAAGGCUAGGGUAGCGAAAAGGAUUAGAUACCCUUGUAGUCCUAGCAGUAAACGGUGUGCACUUGCUGUAGGCGGAUUCGACCCCGCCUGUGGCGAAGCUAACGCGUUAAGUGCACCGCCU
rnacentral:rRNA from 1 species